rnacentral:rRNA from 1 species
UCUUCCCUCUGGCGGCGUGCCUAAUUCAUGCAAGUCGAGCGAACGGACGAGAAGCUUGCUUCUCUGAUGUUAGCGGCGGACGGGUGAGUAACACGUGGAUAACCUACCUAUAAGACUGGGAUAACUUCGGGAAACCGGAGCUAAUACCGGAUGAUAUUUUGAACCGCAUGGUUCAAAAGUGAAAGACGGUCUUGCUGUCACUUAUAGAUGGAUCCGCGCUGCAUUAGCUAGUUGGUAAGGUAACGGCUUACCAAGGCAACGAUGCAUAGCCGACCUGAGAGGGUGAUCGGCCACACUGGAACUGAGACACGGUCCAGACUCCUACGGGAGGCAGCAGUAGGGAAUCUUCCGCAAUGGGCGAAAGCCUGACGGAGCAACGCCGCGUGAGUGAUGAAGGUCUUCGGAUCGUAAAACUCUGUUAUUAGGGAAGAACAUAUGUGUAAGUAACUGUGCACAUCUUGACGGUACCUAAUCAGAAAGCCACGGCUAACUACGUG